UACGUAGGGGGCAAGCGUUAUCCGGAAUUACUGGGCGUAAAGCGCACGCAGGCGGUUCGCCAAGUUUGGAGUGACAGUUGUCGGCUCAACCGACAAAGGACUUCAAAAACUGGUGAACUUGAGGACGAGAGAGGAACAUGGAACUCCAGGUGUAGUAGUGAAAUGCGUAGAUAUCUGGAGGAACACCGGUGGCGAAGGCGGGACUCUGGGCCGAUACUGACGCUGAGGAGCGAAAGCGUGGGGAGCGAACAGG
rnacentral:rRNA from 1 species